GUCCCCGGCGUCCGGGCGCCCUGCAUGGAUCCCCCACCCCAGCUCCUGCUCCCCGGCGGCGGCCGGUGGGCAGAAAGACCGAAACCCACUCACGGCCGCCUGCCGAAUCGCGGCUCUGCUGUUUGUGGGGCGUGCUAGAAACGUGGUCCUAAAAAGAAUGGCGUCCAUUUACAUAAUGCUUUGUUUGCGUUUCGCAAGUUUCUUUCGGUUAAAGCCACAGAAACCCCACCUCCUGCCCUUGUGUCGUUUCCACCGCGGCACCCUUUUCCGACAUUAGAAACAAUAGUGUACGCCUGUGGAGGCCUCGUUUGUUCAGGGGCUGCCGGCCAGGGCUUCAGGACGUUUCUGCGGCUUUCCCCGCGCGGCCUGGGCUCCCGCGGCUGCUUUUCGGGCCCAUGGGCGCAGCCACUGCGCCAGGCUCAAGGGGGGCGGCCCCGUCAGGGCCCGCCAUCUUGGAAGGCCUUUUUUGCCGGUUCUUCCCGCUGAGGAAGUGUCGCUCAAGACGCUGGCCUAUGAGUUGUGAUUUCUGCCUUUUCCCCUUCCUCCUUGGGCUAAGCCAGACCAGAAAGGGCCCCGUGCGCAACGUGCUUCACAAUCUCUCAGGGAAAGCGGCUAACGUGGCGCUACUCCGCCUCCCCUGUUCCUUACCCUUGGGGCGGCCGCCAUGUUUCCUGAACACAAAAUGGCGACACGUGGUUAGCAUUCGUCGCCAACGAGAAAUUGGGGUCGGCCCGAAAGCUCUAGAAUGCACCCCUCUUCCUCCCCGGGGCCUUCCACCUCCGCGAGUUUUAUGACUUAAAAAAGCCCACAGGCUGGUCUGAAGGUCGGAGGCCUAAUUUUAACGCGUUUUCCUCCCUUUAAUUUGAAACGGGAACGCGAAUGACUGUAAAAUGUGGGCACAAUAUUUAAUCUCUCGCCUUUUUAAAGCUUAAUAGUGGAUAAUAGGGGGGCAGUAUCAAGGGAUAAUUUGGGUCCCCACAGUACCAAAGCAUUUAGAAACCUCUGUUUAAUUUAAGGAAUGAGAUAAGUUACUGCUUUUCUAGACUUCCUAGCAUGGGCUGUUGUGCUGGAGAGAACGAGAGCUACGAAGAGACUACAGUGCCUCUGACUUUUUCAUAGGACAGUUGGCCGAGGAAGACAAACAUAAAGAUGAAGUGCUUAAUUCAAGGUCACACAAUGUCGGGGAUGGACCUCCAGAUUUCCUUACUGGAAAACAAGCUCAGGGCUCCCACUGAUUGUACAUUAUGAGACGGAGUCUUGCUAUGUUGCCCAGGCUGGUCUUGAACUCCUCACCUCAAGCGAUCCUCCCGUCUUGGCCUCCCAAGUGUCAGGAUUACGGGCAUGUGCUAUCACACCCAACCUGAUACAUUGCCUUUAUAAAUUUUUUUUUCUUUAUUCUAAAAACCAGAAAAAACAAAACUGGAUACAUGUGCAGAACAUGCAGACCAAGUGUGUUGGGGACUUGAGAUGCGUACAUGAGUGUGAUGUUUCCUGCUGAAAGCACAGGUGAGACGUGGUCUUGUAACACAGUGGUUAAGAAUGUGACUUUGGAGCCAGCCUGCUAGGGGCUGAAUUCUGACUCAGCCAUUUACUAACUGUGUGACCUUAGGGAGGAGGACCUGGUUGAUAGAAGAAUUUAUCUCGUAGUCUUAACAUCCACUGUAAUUCCAAACUUUGAGGACGAUAGAGAUCAGUGGGCUUUGACUGCCCAGCAUGCAGUCUCCAUUCUUAGGUGGGUUCCCAAGCCUGUAAAAUGUAAGCCUUAUGCUGCUGAGGGCCAUCUUGCCACCCUGAGGGAAACGCUGCCUGAGAAUGAAACAAGCAUAAGUAAAAGCUGAGCUGUGAGAUGGAGCAAGAUGAAGGCCACAUGACAUCUUUGGAGCACCUGGAUCUAACUGUGCCUUAAGCUAGUCUAACCCUGAACAUUUCAUCAUUUCAUUGACAUGAGCCCAGGUUUUCUUUUUUUUUGGAUGGAGUCUUGCUCUGUCGCCCAGGCUGGAGUGCAGUAGCUCAAUCUCGGCUCACUGCAAGCUCCACCUCCCGGGUUCACGCCAUUCUCCUGCCUUAGCCUCCCAAGUAGCUGGGACAACAGGCGCCCACCACCACUCCCAGCUAAUUUUUUGUAUUUUUAGUAGAGACGGGGUUUUACCAUGUUAGCCGGGAUGGUCUUGAUCUCCUGACCUCAUGAUCCGCCCGCCUCGGCCUCCCAAAGUGCUGGGAUUACAGGUGUGAGCCACUGCACCCAGCCCUCAGGUUUUCCCUUUUUUUACCCCUCCUUUUGAAAAUUUGAUGUGGAAUUUUGCCACCUGCAGCCAGAAGAGUUUUAACUAAUCAGUGCCAUAAAUUUUAUAUAGUUCUCCUUGCAAAAUGUGGAUCAGCCUUUCUCAGCAAAUCCUUUGUCAUAAAGUGCUGAAUUGUAAGUUUGUCAUGAGAAUCACAUGAGAUCAUGCAUGUGAAGAACCUGGCAUUAUCCUCCUCAUAGAAAAAAACCAGUAAAUAUUAACUACAGGAAGCAAGGAAGGAGUGGGGUGAGGGGAAGAAGAAGGGGUACUGAUUUAAAAGAACCCUGGAGUCCUAAGGAUAAUCUAGGAACCCUCAGACCCAAUCCGAUACCCCUAUUCUAAAUGCUCCUAGUGCCCUGUACCUUCCCCUCAUAAGCCUUCAUUAUCAUUGUAAUGAUAUGUUUAUGUAAUAUUUUGAUUAAUGUCUCUCCUUCACUGACCUAGCAGUUCUAGCAGGGCAGUGAUUUUGCUGUGUUGCAUCCCCAGCACCUAGUCUGGUAUGUGGCAUUCAGCAUAUGUUUAUUGAAUGAAUGGCCAUGUGGUUAUUCAGAUCCUCCUUGAUUAUUGGGGUUAGGAUUGUGGCAGAAGUGGCAAAAUCAGGGAGAGUAGUCCCUGUCCCCUCUGUAUCUUAUACACUGCCCACACUCCCAACACACAUACACAUACAGAGAAUUUUGUCUCAAUUAGAUAAUUAACUUCUGCUUGGUUGUAAACCAAACCACUGGUUCUUAAACUUUCAUUGGAUCAUUUUAUUGAAGAAUUAAAUAGUGUGGUUCUGGCCUAAUGUCUGGAAAGCCUUGCAGAGGAGUGGAUUAGGUCUUUGUGAUAAACAGGCAGCCUUCCCUGCUCCUGUGUCUUUAUAAAAUCUAUUUAACUGGAGUAGUCCACCCUCCCUCAGGCUCUUACAGGAAUAUGUUGGAGGCUGUAGGAAGGUGGGAAACCGAGAGGGAAAGGACUGGGCCGCUGGAGACUUCACUCAUUCCCUAGCAAGAAACAAAAGCAGUAAAAGGUGGCCCGAGGACAACCUGAAGCUCACUCCUUCAGCACUUUUGGCUGGAGGUCACUUGUUGGAGCCCCACUCAGAGCUCAGCACACCACCCCACCAGCAGCCUCCUCCUCCCAGCUGAGGCUGCAUUUCAUCCCUUCCCCCAGCCUGCUUUCCCUGAGAUAGGGGAGUGUUUCCCAGGGCCCAUGUGACUUCCACUGGCAAGUGACGAUUACCAAUGGUUUACUAGUCAGUGAAACUACCAAAGGCUUUUGUGCUGUAGUAAUCCUUUUCCUGUUUAAAACUCUGGGGAUUUUCUAAUGUUGCCAAUAGUUUUUCAAGUCAGCAAUUACUGUGUGGAUUAUGUAAUGGCUCGGUAUUAAAAAUAGAAAAGACUGGA
rnacentral:lncRNA from 1 species